rnacentral:rRNA from 1 species
UACAGAGGUGGCAAGCGUUGUUCGGAAUUACUGGGCGUAAAGGGCGCGUAGGCGGCCUUCUAAGUCAGACGUGAAAUCCCCCGGCUUAACCUGGGAACUGCGUCUGAUACUGGGAGGCUUGAGUAUGGGAGAGGGAUGUAGAAGUUCCAGGUGUAGCGGUGAAAUGCGUAGAUAUCUGGAGGAAUACCGGUGGCGAAGGCGGCAUCCUGGACCACAACUGACGCUGAGGCGCGAAAGCGUGGGGAGCAAACAGG